UUUUUUUUUUUUGGCUGUGGUGUACAGCAGCCUGAUGUGGGAUCUUAGCUCUUAGACCAGGGAUUGAACCCAGGCCACAGCAGUAAAAGCGCUGAAUCCUAACCACUAGACCAACAGGGAGCUCCCAAAAUAACAAUUUUUUAUAAGUAAAAUUAAACACCAGUUCUAAAUAAGAUCCCAGUAUCUUUCCCCUUUCAUCUCAUUGUCCAAAUCAAGACAUAGAACUAACCCUCUGCAGCACGACAAGCUGGGGUAGUAUCUGACAGUUAUCAACCUUUGUUGCCUUUGUGGAGAAGUAACCUACAAAAGGAAAAGGGGGAGGGGGACGGCUGCCGGGAAGGCAACCAGCAAUGUCUGUUUCAGUCCUGCACAGGCAGCAUGAGAUACUGAAAAAGGCACUGACCCAAAGACUAGUCUUCCAAAAGCAUCUGCCCAUCAAGCUGCCUCAUUUCUUUAGCUGAGAACUUAAGAAUCUGGGCAAUCCAAGAGAAAGAGCUAACUCUAGGUGUGGAGGAUAAAAUGCACAAGAAUAGGCUAGAAAUUCAAAGACUCCUGGGAUCAUGUCAGAAGAUCUAUAGAGCCAAUUUGUAAGUCUGCCCAUGGGCCAAAGAUGGGACAAUUUAAGCAACAAAUGACCAUAACAGGAAACUUGUACACAGCUUGAUUUCUUCAACAAUAAACACACACACACACACACACACACACACACGAGAACCAAAGGAAGAGAUCUAGAGAGGAAAAGAGACUGAAAAUAUGUAUCAAUCAAAUUCAAUGCAGAGACUCUGGGUCCUAAAUCAAAAAAGUCUGGGUUCUAUUUUUUCUUUAUGGAUGACAAUAUAAUCAGAGAAGUAUGAAUACUGACAGGAUAUUUGAUGACAUUAGGAAUUACGUAAUUUUAUUGAUUAGGUAAUUUAUUUAGCUAUUUUUCUCAGGUAGUAAGGAUAUCUAGAAUAUGUCUACUAUUGGAUGCUUAACAAGAUUCCUUAUCUUUUAAAGAUAUAUAUUAUUUGCAGAUAAAAUGACGUCUCUAGGAUUUACUUCCAAAUAAUCCAGUGAGGAAGAGGAACUGAAUACAUCAGACUCAUACUAUUGUACUUUUGAAUAGUUAAUAGUUUCUAUAAUGAAUGUUUCUAAAACCCCAGGGACAUGGGAGGAACAACCCCAUGUUAGAACAAUCCCAUCCCAGAGCUAGAGGUCUCUUAUCUAGGGGUCCCUUCUGGUUCUGGUUUUCUGUGACCUGGCAUGAAGGUACUAACUGUUAUUACCUGUACUAAUUAGGACAUUUCAUGAUGAAAUUAAAUAAAGAAUGGUGUCCAAACUAAUAAGCUAGCUGAUUUUAUAACCUUUAGUUCAUGUCAAAAUUAACAUAGGAGAAAGAGAAUCAUGAACCUAUGGUUUUUCUUUUUUCAAACUGCAUAUAUCAACCCACUAGUGGGUUAUGAAAUCACCUUAAAAGAUAAUAAAACAAGGACUGUUUAAUAACUGGAAUGGAAGAGAUUGGAAUGGAAAGAAAAGGAAAGGCAAGGAAAAGAAUGAAAUGGUAAAUAAUACAUUCCUUAUAGUAUAUGUAGUAUUGCGUCAUGAAAUUUCAGUUUUUUACAUUUGUAUGUACAUGGGGUGACUAUGUAAAAACGUUAUUUCCUAAUGGGAACAUAACACAUAGCAUCAGUUUUGUGGUAUUUUACUCAGUAUGAACAAUGCUAAGAACAGACUUAAUAACACAGUAUUUACAAAACCACUGAAGUUUUCAGUAUUUUAAGUUGUACCUUACCUGCUUAAAACUAAAGUCUCCUCCUGUCUGUUGCCACUGAUUUUUGCCAUUUCAAAUGUUCCUAAGUCCAUUUUGCAGACAUCAGAGAAGGAAAAUCAUAAUCUCUGAAGAUAAUGGUUAUAAUAUAUAAUAGCUCUAACAAUUCUAAUAUCAUGAAACAUAGCAUUAAGCCCCAAUUCAGAAUAUAAACUCUUGGUGAAAAUAAAGAACAGGGUUUUUCUAAAUUCCCUUAGCUUUCUCUUAUUUUAUCAAUAAGUAUUUAAUUUUCCUCUGAAUUGCAUAAUCUAAAUUUUUCUUUUAUCCCACUCAGGGUAAAGUUUAAAAUUAUCUGAUGAGGUGUUCCUGUCGGGGCUCAGUGGUUAACAAAUCUGACUAGUAUCCAUGUGGACACAGGUUGAUCCCUGGCCUCGCUCAGUGGGUUAAGGAUCCGGCGUUGCCAAGAGCUGUGGUGGAGGUAGCAGACGUGGUUCAGAUCUGGUGUUGCAGUGGCUGUGGCGUAGGCGGGCAGCUAUAGCUGCGAUUAGACCCCUAGCCUGGGAACCUCCACAUGACAAGGGUGCGGCCCUAAAAUGACAAAAAGACAAAAGAAAAAAAAAUUAUCUGAUGAGAGUUGGGCAAAAAAAGGAGAAAGGAAUCCUGUAUUUAUUGUUAUGGUACAGUUUAAUUUACCCUUGUAAGAAUUUUUUUUUUUAAUUUCAGUGAGUCCUGCUGACUUAUGAUCAACUUGUUAGACACUGAACCCAGUAUCUCUUUUCUCUUGUUUGCAUAUCUUCUUUGCCUUUCAUUUAUAGGUUUAUUUGUAUGGCCAGAGAAUAAAAUCCCUUUUUUUCCCUACUGAACGUCAUUUUAUUUCUAACUUUUAAACCAUAAUCUAAGAUCCAAAAUAUGAUUUGCUGGAGUUCCUGUCAUGGCUCAAUGGUUAACAAAUCUGACUAGGAACCAUGAGGUUGCGGGUUCGAUCCCUGGCCUCGCUCAGUGGGUUAAAUUUGGCGUUGCCAUGAACUGUGGUGUAGAUCACAGAUGCAGCUCGGAUCCCAAGUUGCUGUGGCUAUGGCAUAGGCCGGUGGCUACAGCUCUGGUUAGAUCCCUAGCCUGGGAACCUCCAUAUGUUGCAGGUUGCAAAUGCGGCUCGGAUCCCGCGUUGCUGUGGCUCUGGCGUAGGCUGGUGGCUACAGCUCUGAUUAGACCCCUAGUCUGGGACUCUCCAUAUGCCGUGCGUGCAGCCCUAGAAAAAAGGCAAAAAGACAAAAAAAAAGUACACAACAAGAAAGUGUAGGAGCGUAGGAGCGGAAUUCCCGUCACAGUGCAGCCGAAAUGAAUCUGACUAGGAACCAUGAGGUUUCGGGUUCGAUCCCUGGCCUUGCUCAGUGGAUUAAGGAUCUGGCGUUGCCGUUAGCUUCGAUGUACAUCGCAGACGAGGCUCGGAACCCACAUUGCUAUGGCUAUGGCUUAGGCAAAAGCAAAAAAAAAAAAAAGAAAGAAAGAAAAAAGAAAGUGUAGGAGUAACCUUUGUAUCUUGACAGCCUGACUCCACGGCCCUCACUCUUAACCACCUGAGUUUAAGGCUAUUAGUGAUAGCUUAGCGGAAGGCAUCAAAGAAAAAUAGGUUUAUCCAGCUCUUUGUUUACUGAAUCAGUGAAGUUUACAUCUUUAAAAGCAAGUUUAUAACCACAAUUAAAUUCCUAAAGCAUGGAAUUCCCUGGCAGUUCAGCUGUUGAAGUACCCGCAGUGUUGUCACCGCUAUGGUGCAGGUUUAAUCCCUGGCCGCGGAACUUCCUCAUGCCAGGGGCACAGAAAGCAAGAAAAUUUUAAAUCGUAUUUUUUACAUGAAAAGAGUCAGGAGAAUUUUUAAAACCUGAAGAUUAGAGAGAAAAAAUAAACUGCUCAGAAACCUAUUUUAACACAACCAUAUGAAUUUUGGUGACAAAUCACAUAAAAUAUUAACACAAUUGUAAACAAACAGCACAUAUAUUUUCCCCCUACUUCAUCACUUUGCAUUUUGUACAGGAAACGUUCCCUAUAACAGUUUUCAGAAAUAUUAUUUUCAUAAUAUAUAAUUGCAUACUAUGUAAUCUAAAGGCAUUAGUAUAGCUUAUUCAACCACUCCCAAAUGGGCACUGAGGUUUGCCCCUAGGCUUUUUUACUAUCUAAAAACACUGUGACACACAUAUUUAUGAAUAAAAUGUCUUUCCACAAGUAAAACCAUAUCCUUAUAUUAGAAACUCCAUGAGUGGCUUUACCCCCUGCAUGAGCAUUGCUGAAGAUCCCAACAAACUCUAUUCUGAAAGACUAUAACAGUACAUUGUCAGAAGCGACAUAGAUAUGACAAUAAAAUCAUUGAGUAUUAUUUUUAAAAGAUAUUGCUAAUCUAAUAAGUUAUAAUCACAUUUUAAUCAUCUGCAUUUGCACAAUCAUAUUUGCAUUCUUUGAUACCUAUGAAUUUUAACUAAUUACCAUAUUUUUUUUUACUGAGUUUAUCUUUUAUAUCCUUUGCUCGGCACCAAUUAUUUUUGAUUAUUGGGGACAAAUAUUUGCCUUAAGUCCUUUUACAAUAAAAUUUGGGGAGUUCCCGUCGUGGUGCAGUAGUUAAUGAAUCUGACUAGGAACCUUGAGGUUGCGGGUUCAAUCCCUGGCCUUGCUCAGUGGGUUAGGGAUCCGGCGUUGCCGUGAGCUGUGGUGUAGGUCGCAGACGUGGCUCGGAUCUCUAGUUGCUGUGGCUGUGGCGUAGGCCGGUGGCUACAGCUCCGAUUCAACCCCUAGCCUGGGAACCUCCAUAUGCCGCAGGAGCGACCCAAGAAAUGGCAAAAAGACAAAAAAAAUAAAUAAAUAAAAUAAAAUACAAUUUGGACAAUGCAUUACAGGUUUCCCCAAUUAAUUACAGAGAAGAUAAAGAACACAAUUUACUUUUUUUAAAUUGACUCAAAAUAAUCACUUACUAUACCAAGUACUGAGAUUCAAUAUUUGAUACACAUUUUUCUGUUAAAAAAUUGUUUUCAGCUAAGUCUCAAUUUUUUAAAAUACUUAAAAUUUGAAGUAUUUUUAAUAUACAACUUAAUAGUAUUAGCUACUGAAUAAGUAAAAAAAAUAAGUUCUCAUAUCUUUAAAAUUUCCAAUAAUUAAAAGGUUAGAAUUAGAAUUCUGUGUGAGGUGAAAAUAAGGAUUAUAAUAAUUUCAAUACAAGGAGAACUGAAUGCCACACUUAGAUAUGUGACUUCAAAAAAAAAAA
rnacentral:lncRNA from 1 species